GGAAGUAAAAGUCGUAAUAAGGUCUCCGUAGGUGAACCUGCGGUGGGAUCAUUACAGAGUUCAUGCCCUACCGGGUAGAUCUCCCACCCUAUGUUAUUAUUACUUUGUUGCUUUGGCGGGCCGCUAGGCUCCGGCCCGACUACCGGCCCCGGCUGGUAAGCGCCCGCCAGAGGACCCAAAACCCUGAAUAUUAGUGUCGUCUGAGUACUAUAUAAUAGUUAAAACUUUCAACAACGGAUCUCUUGGUUCUG
rnacentral:misc_RNA from 1 species